rnacentral:rRNA from 1 species
ACGGAGGGGGCUAGCGUUGUUCGGAAUUACUGGGCGUAAAGCGCACGUAGGCGGCUUUGCAAGUCGGGUGUGAAAGCCCUCAGCUCAACUGAGGAAGUGCGCCCGAAACUGCAGAGCUUGAGUGCCGGAGAGGGUGGCGGAAUUCCCCAAGUAGAGGUGAAAUUCGUAGAUAUGGGGAGGAACACCGGUGGCGAAGGCGGCCACCUGGACGGAUACUGACGCUGAGACGCGAAAGCGUGGGUAGCAAACAGGA